rnacentral:rRNA from 1 species
UUUUUUUUGAACUGGGGUCCGGCCUUUGUUCAGCGGUGCGGCAAGGGGCCGGCUGGAGCGAAGCGGGGCUGGUGGCGUCCCGGUACCUCGGCUUGCGUCGACAACUCCGGCUGCGGCUCCUGCUGAUGUACCCCCUGGACAGGGUGAAGGAGGGCGGCUCGGGGAGGAGAGGGUGGUCCUCGGAGCCCCAGGCCUUCGUUGGGGGGUUCGGCCGAGGCGGCCGCGCUCCCGUCCGCUUCGCGCGGUUCCCCGACGGCACCUUCCUCGUGGCCGCCGUCCUCGCGCUAUCCUCGGUCUCUCUCCUCCUACGGGCGUGCAACCGGCCCUACCGUCUCCGGUAGGGCCUCUCGUUGCAACCCAAGUUCUACAACUUCGUCUACCCUAUGCUGGGCCGUCGGGCGCCGCGGCCGCGGCUCGGCCAGCCUUAGCUCUAGGCGGCGAGAGCCCGGCCUGAGCCCCGCCUCGGUCUACGAAGACACCGCGGCGACGGCGUCGGUAGCCUUGGGUUCUGCGCCCUCCUCCUUCUUUCCCUCUCUUUCGCCGUCCUCCUCUACCACCACCUCGACUCCAGCUCCUUCUCGUGCGUUACCUUCCCUGCCUCCAACCACACCCUGAAGGCGUUCCGACUCCGCCGCGAGCGCGUCGACCUCUUGUCCCUCCACCUCGGUGGCCGGGGGCUACCCCUCCUCUUCCUCUUCCCUCUUCUACUUCUCCUUCUCCACUAGUGACUUCUCCCAAAUGUUUGGUAUGACCUAUUCGACGCACAAGUUGUGGUGAUAACGGAAAUGACACCUACGUUCAAACUUAGUCGUCCUCGUAACCGUUUACUUACGGGACCCGGAUUACUUCUACUAGUGACUGGGUGAGACAGUUACCACUGUUCCCGUGACAGGAAGGGUGAUGUCUAAUACCAUUUACACUGUAAACCCUAUAAGAACUAAUCAACUGACACAUGCCAAUUGGAAUCAGGAAUUGUGUUAGUGACCAAGUAUCGGUUGACCUCUUUGACUAGAGGACGUACAAUCACCUUUGUUAUAUAAGAAUUGACGAUAAUACAGAUAAUCAAA